rnacentral:rRNA from 1 species
GAUGAACGCUGGCGGCGUGCCUAAUACAUGCAAGUCGAGCGAACGGACGAGAAGCUUGCUUCUCUGGUGUUAGCGGCGGACGGGUGAGUAACACGUGGAUAACCUACCUAUAAGACUGGGAUAACUUCGGGAAACCGUAGCUAAUACCGGAUAAUAUUUUGAACCGCAUGGUUCAAAAGUGAAAGACGGUCUUGCUGUCACUUAUAGAUGGAUCCGCGCUGCAUUAGCUAGUUGGUAAGGUAACGGCUUACCAAGGCAACGAUGCAUAGCCGACCUGAGAGGGUGAUCGGCCACACUGGAACUGAGACACGGUCCAGACUCCUACGGGAGGCAGCAGUAGGGAAUCUUCCGCAAUGGGCGAAAGCCUGACGGAGCAACGCCGCGUGAGUGAUGAAGGUCUUCGGAUCGUAAAACUCUGUUAUUAGGGAAGAACAUAUGUGUAAGUAACUGUGCACAUCUUGACGGUACCUAAUCAGAAAGCCACGGCUAACUACGUG